UGAUACCAGAGUACCAGAUCUGAGUACACAUGAGCUUGCUCAAAUGUGGACGAAAGAUCUUGGGACUCGCCCCGUCAUGAGCAAUACAGCAGGAUGCUAAUCCUGCGUUUUGCGAAUGUCGGGUAGGAUUGCGAGAGUGCUCUGCACGUAGCAAUCCGAUGGUAUCA
rfam:Dorea sp. CAG:105 genomic scaffold, scf255